UCAGAUUCAGACACGCACCUUCUAACAAUCUGAUCUGGACAAUAUUUCCAUAAGUAUGGAUCAUCCCAAACAUAAUACCUACUUGUUUUUACAAGCUUAUCCUUUUGAGCGCGAGUGAGAUCCUUCGGAAUCAGUUUUGAGGCCUUAUAAUUGAUAAUGUCAGCGUACCAAGGGUCCUUGGCUUCGAGGGUGAAGAGUUGCUCACGGGGAAACUUUCACGUAGAGGAAGCACGUCCUCUUCUUCAUUGGAUCCUUGCGCCAGCCUACUCAAAUGGUCAGCCA
rnacentral:lncRNA from 1 species